GACGAACGCUGGCGGCGUGCUUAACACAUGCAAGUCGUACGGUAAGGCCCUGUCUGUGGUACGCGCGUGACGGACGAGUGGGUAACACGCACGUAAGCUGCCCGCCACUUUGUGUUAACUCUCUGAAACUAGCUCUGAUACUUAACGUGUACUCCUGCCGCAUGGAGGGGGGUGGUAGGAUACGGCGGGUGUGGAUGGACGCGCGGGCUACUAGCUUGGUGGUGGGGGAGGGGGCUACCAAGGCGGGGACGGGUAGGCGGCCGGAGAGGGUGAGCGGCCACAAUGGGACUGAGAAACGGCCCAGACUCCCACGGGAGGCAGCAGGGGGGAAUAUUGGACAAUGGGCGCGAGCCCGAUGCAGCAACGCCGCGUGCGGGAUGACGGCCUUCGGGUUGUAAACCGGUUUCAGCAGGGACGAAGCUGUUUGUGACGGUACCUGCAGAAGAAGCACCGGCUAACUGCGUG
rnacentral:rRNA from 1 species